AUGGGCGGAGCCUGAUGCAGCGACGCCGCGUGAGGGAUGACGGCCUUCGGGUUGUAAACCUCUUUCAGUAGGGAAGAAGCGAGAGUGACGGUACCUGCAGAAGAAGCGCCGGCUAACUACGUGCCAGCAGCCGCGGUAAUACGUAGGGCGCAAGCGUUGUCCGGAAUUAUUGGGCGUAAAGAGCUCGUAGGCGGUUUGUCGCGUCUGCUGUGAAAGCCCGGGGCUCAACCCCGGGUCUGCAGUGGGUACGGGCAGACUAGAGUGCAGUAGGGGAGACUGGAAUUCCUGGUGUAGCGGUGAAAUGCGCAGAUAUCAGGAGGAACACCGAUGGCGAAGGCAGGUCUCUGGGCUGUUACUGACGCUGAGGAGCGAAAGCAUGGGGAGCGAACAGGAUUAGAUACCCUGGUAGUCCAUGCCGUAAACGUUGGGCACUAGGUGUGGGGGACAUUGCACGUUUUCCGCGCCGUAGCUAACGCAUUAAGUGCCCCGCCUGGGGAGUACGGCCGCAAGGCUAAAACUCAAAGGAAUUGACGGGGGCCCGCACAAGCGGCGGAGCAUGCGGAUUAAUUCGAUGCAACGCGAAGAACCUUACCAAGGCUUGACAUUCACCGGACCGCCUCAGAGAUGGGGUUUCCCUUCGGGGCUGGUGGACAGGUGGUGCAUGGUUGUCGUCAGCUCGUGUCGUGAGAUGUUGGGUUAAGUCCCGCAACGAGCGCAACCCUCGUUCUAUGUUGCCAGCACGUGAUGGUGGGGACUCAUAGGAGACUGCCGGGGUCAACUCGGAGGAAGGUGGGGAUGACGUCAAAUCAUCAUGCCCCUUAUGUCUUGGGCUUCACGCAUGCUACAAUGGCCGGUACAAAGGGUUGCGAUACUGUGAGGUGGAGCUAAUCCCAAAAAGCCGGUCUCAGUUCGGAUUGAGGUCUGCAACUCGACCUCAUGAAGUCGGAGUCGCUAGUAAUCGCAGAUCAGCAACGCUGCGGUGAAUACGUUUCCCGGGCUUGUACACACCGCCCGUCAAGUCACGAAAGUGGUAACACCCGAAGCGGUGGCCUAACUCUUGUGGAGGAGCGUCGAAGGUGGGACUGGCGAAUGGGACUAGUUCUAACAAGG
rnacentral:rRNA from 1 species